CCUCAGCUGCAGUCUAAACAGACACUGUGACAGAAGCCCAAAUACGGGUUACUUCCUUAAGGGGCUGGGUGUGGUGUGAACUGGGAAGGGGCAAGAGGACGACUUCCGGGCCCUGGGAGUGUGUUAGACUUAGCAGUUGCAUAAGUAUUUAUAUCUGUGAAUAAUUAAUGAGCUGUACACUCAUGUCCUUUGUGAGGAGUGGAAAUUUGCUAGAGAGAAGGAAUGUGCACAGGCCCUGGGUCAUAGCAGCAGUGUGCUGUGGAGACAUCCAGAUACGUGCAUGUUCCUAGUGCUUCUCACAGUCCUUGGGUUCGCAAGUACUGGCCACACUGCAGAAGCCACGGCCUCACUGACCCUUCCAGCGACACCACGGACUUCACUGCAGUGUCCUUCUCUGCCAGUGUCCUGCCCACCCACGGCGUGACUCUGCCACCUUGCUGCAGAAGGACUGUGGUGGGAAAGGCUCCUAGAUUGGCAUCUGCAGUUGGAAACCUGUCACCAGCCAGCUGUGUGUCUCUGGGCAAGGCUCAGGCUCAGGCUAAAGGAGAGAUGCAGCUUAUCUUUUGAUGGCCUGGUGCUCCGGAGGCCUGGUUGGUGGCUUCACUUCACAGAUCCAGCCUGACACUAAACAAAGCCUUCACUCCGGCCACCUGAAGGAUGUGCCCAUGACUACAGACCUGGCCAAAGCUGCCCUGACACACCCCAGCGCCUUCAGCCCUGCCUCCCAUGUGGCCUCAGCUUCCCCCCUUAGGCUCUCCUAGCUUUCUUCACCUCUUAGUCCCCUCAUGGUCCUUGGUUAGAGAACUCUAGAGUGUCUCAUACUGUAGUACAAGCUGGCCUGGAGCUUUCUGUGUAGACCAGGCUGACUGACGCUGAUAUCAUGGUAGUACACCUGCCUCUGCCUCCCAAGUACUACCAGUACAGAUGGGUGGUGCCAUGCCUGGCUCAGGCUGAGAACAAAUUUUGGUGGACAUUGUACUGUAUUGGAGGCAAAUGAAUAACUAAAAUUGUACUCCUGUCUCCCUCACUGUGUGUCUUUCCUCUCUCUAAUUUUGUAAUUCAGCCUUCAAGAAAGAAAGAA